CGGGGAGGAAGGUGGGGAUGACGUCAAGUCCGCAUGCUCCUUACGUCUAGGGCUACACACGUCCUACAAUGGGGUCGACAAUGGGAUGCAAUAUCGCAAGAUGGAGCCAAUCCCCAAACGGCCUCUCAGUUCGGAUUGUAGUCUGCAACUCGACUACAUGAAGUUGGAAUCGCUAAUAAUGGCAGAUCAGCAUGCUGCCGUGAAUACGUUCCCGGGUCUU
rnacentral:rRNA from 1 species